rnacentral:rRNA from 1 species
CCUACGGGUGGCAGCAGUGAGGAAUAUUGGUCAAUGGUCGCGAGCCUGAACCAGCCAAGUAGCGUGAAGGAUGACUGCCCUACGGGUUGUAAACUUCUUUUAUAAAGGAAUAAAGUGAGGCACGCGUGCCUUUUUGUAUGUACUUUAUGAAUAAGGAUCGGCUAACUCCGUGCCAGCAGCCGCGGUAAUACGGAGGAUCCGAGCGUUAUCCGGAUUUAUUGGGUUUAAAGGGAGCGUAGAUGGGUUGUUAAGUCAGUGGUGAAAGUGUGCGGCUCAACCGUAAAAUUGCAAUGAAUACUGGCAGUCGUAGGUAGAGUUGAGGUAGGCGGAAUUCGGGGUGUAGCGGUGAAAUGCUU